CUUCAUGCCCACAAACUUGAGAACUUAGAUAAAACGAAUCAAUUCCUUGAAAGACCCAAUCUAAGUAGACCUAUAUGUACUUAAAAAAUUAAAUCAGAGGGGGCGGGGCCAAGAUGGCAGACUGUAAGCAGCAGUGAUUGUAGGCUCCCAUUGGAAAGAUUCAAAACAGAGUGCGAAUCCUGCACCAGCAACUGAGGUAUCCAGGUUCUGUCACCAGGACUGACUAGGCGGCUAGCGUGACCCACGGAGAAGAAGGAAGAGCAGUGGGGUGCGGCAGCCCACCUGAGAACCACACGGGCAGGGGAGUCCCCCUCCCCCAGCCAAGGGAGUCGAUGGAGUCUCACUCCGUCACUCAGACUGGCGUGCAGUGAAGCGAUCUUGGCUACCGCAACUCCUGCCUCCCAGGCUGAAGCAAUCCUUCCACCUCAGCCUCCCAAAUAGUUGGGACCACAGGAUCAGCAACACACAUGAAGGCUACAGCAAGCCACAGAUGCCACUGGGUUUCCAACUCCCUGCUCUGGUUCUCUCAACUCCCUGGUACUUCUUCCAACGUUGGUUCUCAUGAAGAAUGGCAAUCAUCAGCAUUCAUCUUAUCUAAGUCAGUUAGAGUAUAUUUUCCAAAAGGUCGUUGAAUAUUUGAGUCCGUUUAAAAUUAUUGUGAGAGUCACUUUGUAAAUAGAGUAUAAGAGCUGUUGUUUGCCAAGUGUGGCUGCAUUAAGUUGAUUAGAUGCUGAAAUGCAUAUGCUAUGGAAAUAGAAAAGAAUAUGAAAAAAUAUAUAAAUCUUG